GGCGGACGGGUGAGUAAUGCCUAGGAAUCUGCCUGGUAGUGGGGGAUAACGUCCGGAAACGGGCGCUAAUACCGCAUACGUCCUGAGGGAGAAAGUGGGGGAUCUUCGGACCUCACGCUAUCAGAUGAGCCUAGGUCGGAUUAGCUAGUUGGUGGGGUAAAGGCCUACCAAGGCGACGAUCCGUAACUGGUCUGAGAGGAUGAUCAGUCACACUGGAACUGAGACACGGUCCAGACUCCUACGGGAGGCAGCAGUGGGGAAUAUUGGACAAUGGGCGAAAGCCUGAUCCAGCCAUGCCGCGUGUGUGAAGAAGGUCUUCGGAUUGUAAAGCACUUUAAGUUGGGAGGAAGGGCAGUAAGUUAAUACCUUGCUGUUUUGACGUUACCAACAGAAUAAGCACCGGCUAACUCCGUGCCAGCAGCCGCGGUAAUACGAAGGGUGCAAGCGUUAAUCGGAAUUACUGGGCGUAAAGCGCGCGUAGG
rnacentral:rRNA from 1 species